ensembl:lncRNA
GAACCUCCAUUAUUUAUAGAGCAUACUGUAGGUAAAGGAGGAAGGAAGUCAUGAAGUGUUGGUGUGGAUUUGUUUGUUUAAAUCAUUGUUUAAAUCUGUGUCAGUGUGGGUAGUGGAUAUUUGUCAGUGUGUGUGAUAGUGGGGGGUGUACUCAUAUGUGAGUGUGUGUUUUAGUGGGGAGUGUACUUGUGUGUGAGUGUGUGUGUUAGUGGAGGGUAUACUCGUGUGUGAGUGUGUGUGUUAGUGGGGGCUGUACUCGUGUGUGAGUGUGUGUGUUAGUGGGGGUGUACUCGUGUGUGAGUGUGUGUGUUAGUGGGGGUGUAGUCGUGUGUGAGUGUGUGUUUUACCGGGGGGUGUACUCGUGUGUGAGUGUGUUUUAGCGGGGUGUACUCGUAUGUGAGUGUGUGUGUUAGUAGUGGGGGCUGUACUCGUGUGUGAGUGUGUGUGUUAGUGGGGGUGUACUCGUGUGUGAGUGUGUGUGUUAGUUGGGGGUGUAGUCGUGUGUGAGUGUGUGUUUUACCGGGGGUGUACUCGUGUGUGAGUCUGUGUUAUAGAGGGGGUGUACUCGUGUGUGAGUGUGUGUGUUAGUGGGGGGUGUACUCGUAUGUGAGUGUGUGUUGUUAGUGGGGGUGUACUCGUGUGUGAGUGUGUGUGUUAUAGAGGGGGUGUACUCGUGUGUGAGUGUGUGUGUUAGUGGGGGGGGUGUACUCGUGUGUCAGUGUGUGUGUUACUGGGGGUGUACCUGUGUGUGAGUGUGUGUGUUACUGGGGGUGUACCUGUGUGUGAGUGUGUGUGUUACUGGGGGUGUACUCGUGUGUGAGUGUGUGUGUUAUAGAGGGGGUGUACUCGUGUGUGAGUGUGUGUGUUACUGGGGGUGUACCUGUGUGUGAGUGUGUGUGUUACUGGGGGUGUACUCGUGUGUGAGUGUGUGUGUUAGUGGGGGUGUACCUGUGUGUGAGUGUGUGUGUUUACUGGGGGGUGUACUCGUGUGUGAGUGUGUGUGUUAGUGGGGGUGUACCUGUGUGUGAGUGUGUGUGUUACUAGGGGGUGUACUCGUGUGUGAGUGUGUGUGUUAGCGGGGGUGCACUUGAGUGUGAGUGUGUGUUUUAGCGGAGGUGUACUCAUGUGUGAGUGUUUAACUGUUUCAGUUUAUAAGUAACACUGAAGUGUCUACUUCAGUCCGUGUGCAUUCCACUGUGGGUGUGUGUUUG